rnacentral:precursor_RNA from 1 species
GAGGACCGUAUUCAUGGAAGAGGAUUGAACAGACUACUGAGUUCUUAAGAGAAAAAUGGCACUUAAGAAAUUGAUGGUGAUAUCAAAGGAAGGUUACUUAUUACUCUUGGACUUUGAUGAUGAGGACGAUGACAUAAAAGUUUCAGAGGAGGCUCUUGCGGAAGUAAAGAGCCCAGGAUUUGAUAAAAAUGAGAAUAUAUCGCCUCAAGCAGAAGCAGAUGAAUAUAUGGGAGAUGAAGUAGACAGUAUGUUGGAUAAAUCUGGAGUAAAGAACCCAGCAAUUGGUAAAGAUGAGAAUAUAUCGCCUCAAGUAAAAGGAGAUGAAGACAUGGGAGAUGAAAUUGACAGUAUGUUGGCUACAUCUGGAGCUGCAUCAUUGGACUGAAAGUGAAUGGCCCAUGUGUUGCCACUGAUGUGAGCCAUUUGCCUGUUGUGCUUCA